CGGGCUGGAAGGGGGACGAGACAGGGGAGAAAGCGGGAGUUCCAACGCCGUGCAAGGGGGGUGCGGAGGGGCUGCUUUGCCGAGGAAGGUGGCAGCUCUGGCUGAAUUCAGUCCAGGAUGGCUGUGGAGAACUCCGGCUCCUGCCUCACCAAGCCGAGAAGCACACUAGGUGAAAGGUUUCCAUGUUAUUUUCCACUGCUGUCUGAUGGAUCCCCAGAGUGUGUGCCCAGCUCAGCAGCCUCCUUCAAGAAACUGAAAACAUCAUGAAAUAUUUUUCCUUGAACUGCCUUGUAGUGGGCAGGCUGUCAUGCUUCAAACCACUAGCUGAAUGAUGCUUACAUAUUAAGUUGAAAAAGAAAACCCUAUCAGAGUCCUGGACCAUCAAAGGAAUUGUGCCUUGACAGUAAUUAAUUAAGUAAAACACUUACCUUCCAGAAUUAUAAAUAAAAAUUGAGUAUCAAAUAUUUGA